rnacentral:lncRNA from 1 species
UUUUUUUUAUUUCGCUAAAUAGGUUGGCUCAAUUAGAAAAAUCUAAAUAUCUUUUCAAAGGACAAAUAUUAAAUUUGACCUUUUUGUACUGAAAUUGUAACUCAUUAUUGUCAAUUUUGUUGGUAAUGAGACUAUAAUUAUUGCAUCAGAUGAUAACAAUACAACAUUUAAGGCAGUCAAUUGGCAUUUAACAUUUGACGAUAUUCAUUUUUAUCAUUUUUUCGGAAGAUUUGAUGAUAUGAGAUUACAUCUAGUAGUAGCUUGGAUAAUACAGAAAAAAAUUAUGUGUAAUUCACUGCAAAAAAUCAAAAAUGAUAAUUUUAUGAAACGUUUUAACAUUGAGAAAUUUCAAUAGCUAUAUUUCAUGUAAAAUAUGACAAUGCUUAUCCGCAUUCAAGUUUGAAGCAAGGGGUUAACCUUGUCUAGAAUUCAUACUUCCAGUGAAGUUUUACGUACCAAUAUGGAGGGUAUUUAUUUAUUAUUUAUUCUAUCACAGAAUAAGAAUUUUCUGACUAUUUUCUAAGAUUGAAGCUGUGUAUGAUUCAACUGCAGUCAUUCUUGUUAAUUAGAAUACUUAGAGGGAGAAGAAAACUUUUUCAUAUUCAUUUGAGACACAUUUAAUAGGCUUUAUUGUCUACAUAGUAUGAAAGGGAAGAUCAUGUAUUCGUGAAUUUUAUACCAUAUGAUGUAAGAAUAUGAAUAUUCAUGAGUAUGUAUGAAAAUGAAUAUUCAUCAGAUGUAAAUGAAUAUUCAUGAGAAGACCUCACAACAUUGAUAAUGUAUGAAAUCCAUAUUUAUGAUUUGUUUUACUUUGUUUUAAAUUGAAAUCUUGUAUUGUUUUAAUCAAUCCCUAUGUAAAGUGUUAUUAUUAUAUGAUAUGCUCAUAUAAUCAACUCUUAAAAGAUUCCAGUUUAUUCUGGGAAUAUUUUAUGAAUCAAAUCCAUGAGAAAAGAUAAGAUUUUGCAUAUUGUGAAAUCUGACAGGUAAGGGAAAUAACUCUUUUAAGUUCUAUUGUCUCCUUGUAAACUACUUAUAUGUCCCUGUAGGACCUUUUUAAGGUGGUAGACCUAGGUUAAGGGAAAUAACUCUUAAAAUCAUCAGUACGUUUGUGUCAGCCAUUUUCAUAAAUACGUUCUAAGCUUCUAGGAUACAUAGAUUAUUUUCAAUCUGUGUCAGGUAAAUGCUUAAAAUACAUUAAUAAAACUUGACUAUUACAAACGCAUCACUGAAUUAAAGAGUUAUCUCCCUGGACCAAGGUCUACCCCCUUAAUAUCAAACUUAUUCAUAGCUAAAUUAUUGUGUGGUUAAUGAAGAAAUUCCUAAUUUACCACACAAAUUUCGUUAUGUAUUUUCAUUGAUAAACUGAUUUCUAAACUUACAAACCAAAUAUAACUUUUGUUUUAAAUGUUCUAACUCUUGGGUUUGUUUCUUUUACAUCUCUAAUAAUACACCAUAGAGUGUGUACAUUGUUAUGAUGUUAUAGGAGUAUUCUAAAAAAAAAAUUCAGUUUUCAAUGCUUUCAUUGCAUAUACAAGAUGUUAAUCUUAAAUUUUCCUCCCAAGAGCUGUCAGAUAGCCUUGGAAUUUCAAUUUGAAUUUCAACUUUUUUAACUUCACUUAACACAUUUAAUUUGAACUCUUGUCAGACAAUAAAUAAAGUCAACAUGAAAAUUCUAUGUUAUGGGAAGUAGGAUAAAAAUUGAUUAUAAUCUCUUGUGGUUUAUUUCUUAACUACUGAAGAAAUAUAAAUUUCACAGUUUGUCAAAGUUAAUUCUGUAGAAUUCUGAUUUAUUUGAUUGUGCUGUCUGAUUUUCAAAUUAUAUUCAGUAGAUGGGUCUCAAAUAUGGUUUAGAUAACAUAAACUAUCGUAGAAAAUGUCAAUUAUGAUCAAGUCAAUCAUGGGUUCAAUGUCAUGAUAUAAAUUAUGCUUUUCAACACAUUUCAUAUAUCAUUUAAUUAAUUUUAAUUGUAUAUUUCUAAAUGUUUUGCACAUUUUCAAUUCUUCGUAGUUGUUUACAAGGUUACGUCGUUGUAAACAUGAUACAACACAUAAAAAUAGAUUUUCUUGUACACAGUCGUGUAUAAUGCAUAAGUGGCAUUUUUAGCCAGAUAUACCACAAGUUAGAAUAGAAGGGGCAUGAUCUUAGAUAUUCAACUUUUAUAAACAAAUCUUAGACAUCAUAUACUAUUUAAGUUUUUAGAAUUUAAAAAAAAAAAUCUUUCUUGCAAAUUAUUUAUGAAAAGUAAAAUUAUAUACUUACUUAAAAUAUCACUAGUGUAGUUAUGAAAUAAUUUCUUUAAACCAUGUAGUGUAGACUACUCUUAUAAUACUCAAAACCUGAUAUUAUUUUAAAUUUCAAUCAAUUGUUGAUAUUAUUCUGUUUUUAAAACCAAAUUAUAUUUCUGGGAAACUGGAGAAAAAAAUCUUGUUAUUGUUUUGUUUAAAAUGUUUAUACCUCUCAAUGAAAAAGGUUUUUAUUUAUUGAUAAUAAAUAAUCUACUGCUUUUUUUGCAAACAAAUUUUAAUAUGAAUUUAAUACAUUAAAAGUGCAAAAAAUAAUUGAUUUUUACCAAAUCUUUGAGAGAUUAAAAAUGUUCCAAUUUUAGGGUUGAAUUGUUGUGUGAUUCUCUCCUGUGACUGAUUAAAAUACUGUUUUUAAAAUCUUUCCUAAUUUUAUCAUUGUACAUGCAUUCAGGGAAAAACCUCUCAUUACUUUGUGUAUAUAUAUAAUUGUUAUUUAUAUUAUGGAGUUGUAGAAACCUUUUUUUUUUCAUUUGUUAUUGCAUUGAAUUAACUGUUUGAAAUGCAAGCACAAAAAACCAAGAAUUGUAAUAAACAUCACUAUUUCAAAGUAAAA